rnacentral:rRNA from 1 species
AAGCGGUGGAGCAUGUGGUUUAAUUCGAAGCAACGCGAAGAACCUUACCAGGUCUUGACAUCCCUGACAACCCGAGAGAUCGGGCGUCCCCGUCGGGGGACAGGGUGACAGGUGGUGCAUGGGUUGUCGUCAGCUCGUGUCGUGAGAUGUUGGGUUAAGUCCCGCAACGAGCGCAACCCUUGUCUUUAAUUGCCAGCAUUCAGUUGGGCACUUUAAAGAGACUGCCGGUGUUAAGCCGGAGGAAGGUGGGGAUGACGUCAAGUCCUCAUGGCCUUUAUGCCCAGGGCUACACACGUGCUACAAUGGGUGGUACAAAGAGAUGCCAACUCGCGAGAGCGCGCCAAUCUCAGAAAGCCAUCCUCAGUUCGGAUUGGAGUCUGCAACUCGACUCCAUGAAGUUGGAAUCGCUAGUAAUCGCGGAUCAGCACGCCGCGGUGAAUACGUUCCCGGGCCUU